rnacentral:rRNA from 1 species
GAGUUAGCCGAGGCUGAUUCCUCAGGUACCGUCAUUUGUUCUUCCCUGAGAAAAGGGGUUUACAACCCAAGGGCCUUCCUCCCCCACGCGGUCUUGCUCCGUCAGGCUUGCGCCCAUUGCGGAAAAUUCCCAC